rnacentral:rRNA from 1 species
GACGAACGCUGGCGGCGUGCUUAACACAUGCAAGUCGAACGGAAAGGCCCUGCUUUUGUGGGGUGCUCGAGUGGCGAACGGGUGAGUAACACGUGAGUAACCUGCCCUUGACUUUGGGAUAACUUCAGGAAACUGGGGCUAAUACCGGAUAGGAGCUCCUGCUGCAUGGUGGGGGUUGGAAAGUUUCGGCGGUUGGGGAUGGACUCGCGGCUUAUCAGCUUGUUGGUGGGGUAGUGGCUUACCAAGGCUUUGACGGGUAGCCGGCCUGAGAGGGUGACCGGCCACAGUGGGACUGAGAGACGGCCCAGACUCCUACGGGAGGCAGCAGUGGGGAAUAUUGCACAAUGGGCGGAAGCCUGAUGCAGCAACGCCGCGUGCGGGAUGACGGCCUUCGGGUUGUAAACCGCUUUCGCCUGUGACGAAGCGUGAGUGACGGUAAUGGGUAAAGAAGCACCGGCUAACUACGUG